rnacentral:rRNA from 1 species
UUGAUCAUGGCUCAGAUUGAACGCUGGCGGCAUGCCUUACACAUGCAAGUCGAACGGCAGCACGGAGCUUGCUCUGGUGGCGAGUGGCGAACGGGUGAGUAAUACAUCGGAACGUACCCUAGAGUGGGGGAUAACGUAGCGAAAGUUACGCUAAUACCGCAUACGAUCUAAGGAUGAAAGUGGGGGAUCGCAAGACCUCAUGCUCGUGGAGCGGCCGAUAUCUGAUUAGCUAGUUGGUAGGGUAAAAGCCUACCAAGGCAUCGAUCAGUAGCUGGUCUGAGAGGACGACCAGCCACACUGGAACUGAGACACGGUCCAGACUCCUACGGGAGGCAGCAGUGGGGAAUUUUGGACAAUGGGCGAAAGCCUGAUCCAGCAAUGCCGCGUGAGUGAAGAAGGCCUUCGGGUUGUAAAGCUCUUUUGUCAGGGAAGAAACGGUGAAAGCUAAUAUCUUUUGCUAAUGACGGUACCUGAAGAAUAAGCACCGGCUAACUACGUGCCAGCAGCCGCGGUAAUACGUAGGGUGCAAGCGUUAAUCGGAAUUACUGGGCGUAAAGCGUGCGCAGGCGGUUUGUAAGUCUGAUGUGAAAUCCCCGGGCUCAACCUGGGAAUUGCAUUGGAGACUGCAAGGCUAGAAUCUGGCAGAGGGGGUAGAAUUCCACGUGUAGCAGUGAAAUGCGUAGAUAUGUGGAGGAACACCGAUGGCGAAGGCAGCCCCCUGGGUCAAGAUUGACGCUCAUGCACGAAAGCGUGGGGAGCAAACAGGAUUAGAUACCUGGUAGUCCACGCCCUAAACGAUGUCUACUAGUUGUCGGGUCUUAAUUGACUUGGUAACGCAGCUAACGCGUGAAGUAGACCGCCUGGGGAGUACGGUCGCAAGAUUAAAACUCAAAGGAAUUGACGGGGACCCGCACAAGCGGUGGAUGAUGUGGAUUAAUUCGAUGCAACGCGAAAAACCUUACCUACCCUUGACAUGGCUGGAAUCCUUGAGAGAUCAGGGAGUGCUCGAAAGAGAACCAGUACACAGGUGCUGCAUGGCUGUCGUCAGCUCGUGUCGUGAGAUGUUGGGUUAAGUCCCGCAACGAGCGCAACCCUUGUCAUUAGUUGCUACGAAAGGGCACUCUAAUGAGACUGCCGGUGACAAACCGGAGGAAGGUGGGGAUGACGUCAAGUCCUCAUGGCCCUUAUGGGUAGGGCUUCACACGUCAUACAAUGGUACAUACAGAGCGCCGCCAACCCGCGAGGGGGAGCUAAUCGCAGAAAGUGUAUCGUAGUC